AUCCUGGCUCAGAUUGAACGCUGGCGGCCAAGGCCUAACACAUGCAAGUCGAACGGUAACAGGAAACAGCUUGCUGCUUCGCUGACGAGUGGCGGACGGGUGAGUAAUGUCUGGGAAGCUGCCUGAUGGAGGGGGAUAACUACUGGAAACGGUAGCUAAUACCGCAUAAUGUCGCAAGACCAAAGAGGGGGACCUUCGGGCCUCUUGCCAUCGGAUGUGCCCAGAUGGGAUUAGCUUGUUGGUGGGGUAACGGCUCACCAAGGCGACGAUCCCUAGCUGGUCUGAGAGGAUGACCAGCCACACUGGAACUGAGACACGGUCCAGACUCCUACGGGGGGCAGCAGUGGGGAAUAUUGCACAAUGGGCGCAAGCCUGAUGCAGCCAUGCCGCGUGUAUGAAGAAGGCCUUCGGGUUGUAAAGUACUUUCAGCGGGGAGGAAGGGAGUAAAGUUAAUACCUUUGCUCAUUGACGUUACCCGCAGAAGAAGCACCGGCUAACUCCGUG
rnacentral:rRNA from 1 species